UGCAGUCGAGCGGAGAUGAGGUGCUUGCACCUUAUCUUAGCGGCGGACGGGUGAGUAAUGCUUAGGAAUCUGCCUAUUAGUGGGGGACAACAUUCCGAAAGGAAUGCUAAUACCGCAUACGCCCUACGGGGGAAAGCAGGGGAUCUUCGGACCUUGCGCUAAUAGAUGAGCCUAAGUCGGAUUAGCUAGUUGGUGGGGUAAAGGCCUACCAAGGCGACGAUCUGUAGCGGGUCUGAGAGGAUGAUCCGCCACACUGGGACUGAGACACGGCCCAGACUCCUACGGGAGGCAGCAGUGGGGAAUAUUGGACAAUGGGCGGAAGCCUGAUCCAGCCAUGCCGCGUGUGUGAAGAAGGCCUUUUGGUUGUAAAGCACUUUAAGCGAGGAGGAGGCUACUUAGAUUAAUACUCUAGGAUAGUGGACGUUACUCGCAGAAUAAGCACCGGCUAACUCUGUGCCAGCAGCCGCGGUAAUACAGAGGGUGCGAGCGUUAAUCGGAUUUACUGGGCGUAAAGCGUGCGUAGGCGGCUGAUUAAGUCGGAUGUGAAAUCCCUGAGCUUAACUUAGGAAUUGCAUUCGAUACUGGUCAGCUAGAGUAUGGGAGAGGAUGGUAGAAUUCCAGGUGUAGCGGUGAAAUGCGUAGAGAUCUGGAGGAAUACCGAUGGCGAAGCAGCCAUCUGGCCUAAUACUGACCGCUGAGGU
rnacentral:rRNA from 1 species